rnacentral:lncRNA from 1 species
CAGGUGAAAGGUGAAGUCGCGAGUUUUGACAGUACUAAAGCUUGUAAAUGUAACAAUCCGACCCACUAGCAACAAUAACUCGUUGAGUCCAAACCACCGACUCAAAUUACUUAAACUCGGCUAUUAUUAUUAGCGUGUAGGGCACCGAAUGUGGGAUUAUUAGGGCAUUACAGUAAAUUGUCUUAUAACUCGUACAGAGGCAUCACCCUUCGACUUUGCAGCGCCGUCAAAUAUGCAAUAUCUGGAAGUAGCAAGAGUUCAUUGAACUACUCGAGUUUGGAUUCUGAUUUUCACCACUUAAAAUGUUUUUAACCGUUAGAAUUUUACAAUAUAUGACUAUUGUGGGGGAUUGAACAUAUUAUUUGAUUCUUUUUUUUUUU